rnacentral:misc_RNA from 1 species
UAAUAAGUGUUUUAUGGCACUUUUUAAAUCCAUAUCCACCUUGUGUGCAAUGUCAGUCGAUCUUCUUCAUGGAGAUCGACCAAACAUCAACCUUUAUCUUUUAACUCUUUGUCUGAAAAAUGUUAUGAAUAAACAAUUCAAAAUA